UACGUAGGGGGCAAGCGUUGUCCGGAAUCAUUGGGCGUAAAGAGCGUGUAGGCGGCCCGGUAAGUCUGUUGUGAAAGUCCAGGGCUCAACCCUGGAAUGCCGAUGGAUACUGCCGGGCUAGAGUUCGGAAGAGGCAAGUGGAAUUCCUGGUGUAGCGGUGGAAUGCGCAGAUAUCAGGAGGAACACCUAUAGCGAAGGCAGCUCGCUGGGACGACACUGACGCUGAGACGCGAAAGCGUGGGGAGCGAACCGG
rnacentral:rRNA from 1 species